rnacentral:tRNA from 2 species
GAAAUGGUAGCUCAAUAGAAGAGCGCUGACCUUCCAAGUCAGAGGCUGCAGGUUCGAAUCCUGCCCAUUUCACAA